rnacentral:lncRNA from 1 species
AAGAGAUGCAUUAAAACUAGUAAACGGGCAUGCACAGCAAAGGCCAUUAUAAGGGUGCCUGGAGGAGGCAAUUUGACAAAAUAGGCAGCUCACAAAAAGAUUGAAAGCAUCCAUCCAAUAGUGACCCUGUUCUGAUAGCAGUGCUCGUGGAAUACUUAGAAUAAGUAAUUGAACAUAUGUGUCCUGGUGGAGAACCAAAAAGACCAAAAGCUGAAUCACCUUAAAAGAAAGAGGAUGCCAUAGGCCAUAUGAAUAUAGCAGCUCAGUUGUUGCAUUUUGAAUCACGCGUGCUUGAGUAGGGCAAUAUAGAUUUCCAUCACCAAAAUGAAUAGUAGGC